rnacentral:rRNA from 1 species
ACAAUGGAGAGUUUGAUCCUGGCUCAGGACGAACGCUGGCGGCGUGCUUAACACAUGCAAGUCAAGGAGAACAUUCCCUUCGGGGAACUAUUAAACUGGCGAACGGGUGAGUAACACGUAGGCAACCUGCCUUGGAGAUUGGGAUAACCCCGGGAAACCGGAGCUAAUACCGGAUAAUGCAGCGGAUCCUUCGGGAUAUGUUGUUAAAGCGGGCUUCGGCUCGCACUUCAAGAUGGGCCUGCGUCCGAUUAGUUAGUUGGUAGGGUAACGGCCUACCAAGGCGAUGAUCGGUAGCUGGUCUGAGAGGAUGAUCAGCCACACUGGGAUUGAGAUACGGCCCAGACUCCUACGGGAGGCAGCAGUGGGGAAUUUUGCGCAAUGGACGAAAGUCUGACGCAGCAACGCCGCGUGAUC